UACGGGGGGGGUAAGCGUUGUUCGGAAUUACUGGGCGUAAAGGGCUCGUAGGCGGCCAACUAAGUCAGACGUGAAAUCCCUCAGCUUAACUGGGGAACUGCGUCUGAUACUGGAUGGCUUGGAUUCGGGAGAGGAAUGCGGAAUUCCAGGUGUAGCGGUGAAAUGCGUAGAUAUCAGGAGGAACACCGGUGGCGAAGGCGGGUCCCUGGGCUAACACUGACGCUGAGGCGCGAAAGCGUGGGGAGCGAACGGG
rnacentral:rRNA from 1 species